rnacentral:ncRNA from 1 species
CUAUCAACUUUCGAUGGUAGGAUAGGGGCCUACCAUGGUAGUGACGAGUGACGGGUGAUGUAGACUUAGGGUUCGAUUCCGGGGGGGGGAUCCUGAGAAACAAAUACUACAUCAGAGGAAGGCAGCAGGCGCACAAAUUCCCAAUCCUUACACGGGGAGGUAGUGACAAUAAAUAGCAAUACCGGGCGCAUUAGUGUCUGGUAGUUGGAAUGAGUAAAAUCUAAAUCCCUUAUCGAGGAUCCAUUGGACGGAAGUCUGGUGCCAGCAGUCGCAGUAAUUCUAGCUCCAAUAGCGUAUAUUUAUGUUGUUCCAGUUAAAAAGCUUGUAGUUGGACCUUGUGCUGGGUCGGCCGGUCCGCCUCACGGCGAGCACCG